AGUGCAUAUUUGUAUAAAUGUAGUUCUCAUUUAUCUUCUUUUAUUAUUUCAUAUAUUUACAUUGUAUUUUAACCUUAUUGAAGUGGAACAAGCUACCCAGGGAAGUAGCAGAGUCACCAUGCUUGGAGGUGUGUAAAAGAUGUGUAGGUGUGGUGCUUAGGGACAUGGUUUAGUGAUGGCCUGGCCAGGUUAGGCUAAUGAUUGGACUUGAUGAUCUAAAGGUCUUUUUCCAACCUGAACAAUUCUAUGAAAUUGGAGGGAGUUUGCUUCUUAUCAUAUAAGAUCUUCAACACAAUAAUAUAUGGUAGUAAUUUAAUAUUUUAUCUAAUAAGCAAAUGCAAAACAAGUUCUACUGUUCUGGAUGAUUAAAUCUUGAGAUCCUUUCUAGCAUUUACUAAAAAGUGAUAACAGUAUUUUUUGAUGUGAAAUAGCUAGAAGUGUGGAGAUUUUGUGUAAAAUGAUGCAAGGCAAGUGUUCACUUAAAUAAUUAAUACUUGUAUUUAUUUUUUGUGUAUGUAUGCUUUUAUAUUAAAAAUAAACUAUCCAUUGUUAUCCAUUGAUUCCAACAGGAAUCUAUGGCUCCUGUUUCUUUGCUGUUAUCAUUUGCUUUCUUAAUUCACCAAAGAAAAAGGUGACUGCUAUAAUGCACUCAAUGUCCCCAAAGUUUAAGAGUGGAAAGGGGCAACACACGAAAGAAUCAGUUGCACAGGUCAUACCUUUUUUGUAGAGGCAGAGAACACCAAGAUAUCUCACAAAGCACAUUUUCAGUCAUUCAAAAUAAAACUCUGAAUGCAAUCUGGCAUGAAGGAGAGUUGAAAAUAUGUACCCAGGUGAACUUAUAGCAAAAUUAUUGUUUGUUCUAUGUUGGCUACAUAAAAGAUGUAGAGCAAAUAAAGCCUCAAGGAUCUUGCUUUCUGUGUCAGUAUAAUUGUUAUUACAGGAGGGUAUUUUAUGGCAUGAAACAGGAGUUUGAUCAGCCUGAAGAAGAGAAGUCUUCAGGACACCUAAUAGCAGCUUUCUAAUGCAUAGGAGGAGGUCAUCCAGAAAAAUGAAUCUGAGCUAUUGGAAGUACAUGAUGCGAGUAUGCAAAAGCAGAAAUGAAAGAAGUUCCUGCUGGAUAUGAGGAGAAACCUCUUCACUGUGAGGACAGUCCAGCAGCAGAGCAGGUUGUCUGGAAAGUUUGUAGCCUCCCUUCUUGGAGGCUUUCAAGACCUGAUUUGCUGUAGCUAUGUUACUGUUUUGGUAGUAUACCAUACCAGUAUUCCUACACUGGUAAAGUAUUUCUGUUGUAGUUGCUUAAUUUGCUCCCUCUGUUACCUGGUUUCAUCAAUUGUUUAUUUUCAGUUUAUUUGUUAUACUAGGUAUCAGUUCAACUUUAUCAUGUUUGAGCAUCGUCUCCGCUUGCAUUGAGACUCUAAUCUUAUUGGUCAUCAAGCAGGUCUGGAAAAAUGUUAAUUAACCCUUAGGUGGCUGACUAGGUCACUAGUGGUCUGUCUGGACAUUCCAGAUCAGGAACUCUGCCAGCCAGUGCAGGAGAGGAAAAUAGGGAAUCACACAAUGAGAGCUGGAAGGGUGGAAAGGGAUGGUAAAGCAAAACAGAAGGAAGACCCUUAACCCUACUACUAC